UCGCUACUACCGAUUUCGAGUGGUCCGGUGAACCCUUUGGACUGGAGGCGCCUCGUGUGCCGCCGGAAAGUCGAGUAAACCACAUCACUUAGAGGAAGUAA
rnacentral:rRNA from 1 species